rnacentral:rRNA from 1 species
AACGUAGGAGGCGAGCGUUAUCCGGAUUUACUGGGCGUAAAGCGCAUGCAGGCGGCUUCGUUAGUCGGGUGUGAAAGCUCCUAGCUUAACUGGGAGAGGCCAUUCGAUACUGCGAGGCUUGAGGUUGGGAGAGGGGUGUGGAAUUCCCGGUGUAGUGGUGGAAUGCGUAGAUAUCGGGAGGAACACCUGUGGCGAAAGCGGCACCCUGGCCCACACCUGACGCUGAGGUGCGAAAGCGUGGGGAGUAAACAGGAUUAGAUACCCUGGUAAUCCACGCUGUAAACGAUGUCAACUGGGUGUCGGUAGCUUUACGCUAUCGGUGCCGAAGCAAACGCGUUAAGUUGACCGCCUGGGGACUACGGCCGCAAGGCUA